UUGUGAGUUAGAUAAAUGCCAGCUGGUAUUUCGCGCAGUAAAAGUAUUUAGUUAACCGUGUCUUGCUCUUUCAUAAAGGUUCGUUUCGUCUUUCGUGAAUUUCAUCACGGCAACAAUGUAUAUAUACACAUCAAAUUCAACGAGGACUAAAUUGUAUAGCGUCCAUUUAAAAUUUAGAAAGGCUUUAAGGCUAUUUCUAUUGCUGUGAAGUUCCGGCUUGUUACUUGUCUCAGUGCAAAGAAGGCUGCUUAACGAAGGUGGAAGUCAUCAUCAUUUUGAGAUUCAUAAUAACCACUGGCGUCACUUUAUAGAUUUUCAGAGUGCUCAGUGUUAUUAAUUAACAAUGGACUUGUUAUCGCCCGUUUCUUGAAUACAUUUACUUACUCUUUACUACAGCGAGGUUCACCGACCCUGGACCUCGGGACUCCUACCACAAAGUACAGAGUGAUAACGAUGCCAAUUACAAGAAAAAAGGGAUACUUGCUCAAAAUAGAAAACCAAUAAACUGACAUCGAUCCCUGGCUUGCAUUUAAGAUUAACCGCAGACGGCACAUUGGCUUCCGUACGAGGUUGACUGACCUGGGUUCAUUCAGAGUUACGCAAUGGCGUCAUCUCUAUUUGGCAGAUGCUCUUCCAUUCUUAUACACACAAUCCACGUUUCUACCACGAAUACCUAUACUCGUGCUACGAGUCAGGACCUUAUGAUAAACCAGUCGGAAUUGAACGUCUCAAAAAAUGGCAACUAUAACAGUUACCAAAGACCAAUUGAGUGAUGCUAAGUUGGAGCUGUGUCAACAAGAAAAAAGCUCAUGGCUGAUCAUCAAACUGAACUUUGUUCAUAAGGAUACCCUUUAUGGUACUCAACUGGGGCAGAUUUGCAGAGUUCACAAUAGGAGACAAAGGGCAACCGAUUCCCCGAUGCGGUUCAAAGGCUUCGGAUGUCUCGUACGAGUGAACCCUCCUAUCCAUUUCACUUGCUGAAAAAGCUCAACUGGCAGAACAGAAAGUGCAUCGUCGACUGUUGAGAUACGUCUGGCGAUAAAGUGAAAAGUGGCAGAGAGAAAGGAGGACAAGGGUGAAAGGAAGAAGUUGCCUAGUCCAAAAAUUCCGAUAGAAUUAGUAAUGUAAAAAGGUUAGAAUUCGAAAAUAAGAUUUCGUUUGAACGGUAGCACUGUGAGUUGCAAUAAGAAAUCUUAUUGAAUGCCUGGCUUGAUAAUAGUCAAAGCCAGUAGUGGUAGCAGUGCUACUGCAAACUAUACUCAUAGUAUUACUAUAGCUGAUAACCGUGAUAGCAGUAAUAGUAGUAACAACCGUAGUGGUGGUAGACCUGGAGGAUCGAUGCCGUAGCAGCGACAGCGUGGCUCCAGCCUGCAGACAACUUCCCCCAUACCUUUGGAUAUCUUGCCGCUUCAUAGAAACCUGCUAGUUAUUUCCUUCCAACGGACGGACACCUAUCGACGUAAGGACCUGAACCUAUCGCAAUUAUUCAACAGACACAAAGUUCAAAUUCAACGUGGACUCGUGGGGUACAUUCGGUUCAGAAAUUUUUGUCUCCACACCGCCCAGACCAAAUUGGCACAAAGCAGCGACUGCAUAAGGCAUUACGCGGCCUCCUGGGUUCUACGUAAACUACUACUGGCAGACUCUGAAAUAUUUUUCAAAUGAGUAAGAAUUUCAUGGCCGACCCGGACACUUUACUUGACGUGCGGAACCCGUGAGACUCGAUCCCGCCAUCUGUUGAAAACUUCGAGAACUGACUCGUACCGUCUGAAAGGAAGCAGUAGUAAGGUCUAUCGAUCUUCGGGAAAGUGAUUCGCAAAAUAAACAAAGAUCGCAUUCUUGUAUAAGGGCCAGUUUCCAAAGGCGUAAGGUACAACAUGGUUUGAUUAAUGGAUAGCAGUACAAUGGAUUCCGUCAGCAGACGCCUAUUGAACCCUUCAGGACUUUCAGUCGGCGAUGUCGAUUCUUAGUGAUAGCCUGGCAAUCAAGGUUCUCCAAAAGGAAAGGGGGGCGUAUAAAGGAGAUCAGGAGUAAUGCAUUUCUAAUGGCUGACGUCUGCAAUUGAUAUUAGGUGAUAACUAUUUUCUAUAAUUCAUUAAAUUAAAUGAUGGUUAAUGAAUGUUGUAAUUCAGCAGGUUAUACUUAUAUGACAUGAUAGAUUGUUAAUGGUUACUUAAUAUGAGAAGAUGGGAUAAUGAUUGUUAAUGAGACAAUAAAUGUUAAAUAUAAAUAUUGGAUCAACGAUGUCACAUUAAUGAUGUCAUUUAUGUUUCAUAUGCUCGCUGUCAAACGAGGGAAUAUCAAAUUUAUUAUUGGACCGUGUAUGAUUUGUAAUUACCGCAUCACCGAGGAGGAAUGGGACUGUAAAUCUCGCGGGAAAUUGGAUUUAUUGUGAUAUCACCAGUAUAUUUCUACCAGCGGAACUUUUAACUCUUAAGCUAGAUUGAUGUUGUGCGGUAUGGAUUCGCGUAAGGCCAUGUAUUAUUAAAAACACUUUAUUAUUAAAACAUUGAAAGGAGGGAUAGAUACAGACAAUACAUUGUCCCGUGAGUCGGACAAUUGAGAAACUAAAAGCUGUGACGAGAUGAACCUCAAAGAAUUAAAAGUUGAAUUUGAA